rnacentral:rRNA from 1 species
UACAGAGGGUGCUAGCGUUGUUCGGAAUCAUUGGGCGUAAAGGGCGUGUAGGCGGUUUGUUAAGUCAUGUGUGAAAUCCCUCGGCUCAACCGGGGAACGACGCAUGAAACUGGCAAGCUAGAGUACCAAAGAGGGGGUGGAAUUCCCGGUGUAGCGGUGAAAUGCGUAGAUAUCGGAGGAACACCAGUGGCGAAGGCGGCUCACUGGCUCUACCUGACGCUGAGCGCGAAAGCGUGGGAGCGAACCGG